rnacentral:rRNA from 1 species
GCCUCACCGCGUGCACUCGUCCGGCCGGGCCUUCCUUCUGAAGAACCUCAUGCCCUUCACUGGGCGUGCUGGGGAAUCAGGACUUUUACUUUGAAAAAAUUAGAGUGUUCAAAGCAGGCCUUUGCUCGAAUACGUUAGCAUGGAAUAAUAAAAUAGGGCGUGCGUUUCUAUUUUGUUGGUUUCUAGAGACGCCGCAAUGAUUAACAGGAACAGUCGGGGGCAUCAGUAUUCAGUUGUCAGAGGUGAAAUUCUUGGAUUUACUGAAGACUAACUACUGCGAAAGCAUUUGCCAAGGAUGUUUUCAUUAAUCAGUGAACGAAAGUUAGGGGAUCGAAGACGAUCAGAUACCGUCGUAGUCUUAACCGUAAACUAUGCCGACUAGGGAUCGGGCGAUGUUCUUUUUCUGACUCGCUCGGCACCUUACGAGAAAUCAAAGUUUUUGGGUUCUGGGGGGAUUAUGGUCGCAAGGCUGAAACUUAAAGAAAUUGACGGAAGGUCACCACCAGGCGUGGAGCCUGCGGCUUAAUUUGACUCAACACGGGGAAACUCACCAGGUCCANAUGAAAUA